UAUCAUCAUCCUUACUAUUAUGUUGGAGCCAUUUUUGUCCAUCUUCAUCAUGAAGAACUACUCUCCAACAACUUAAGAUAUAUAUUAUAUCUUCUACAACUUUAUAACAUACUUUAUUAGCUUUUUCACCAAAAUAAUGUCCAUUUAAAAUAAAUUACCAAAAUAAUACUCUUUCCAAACUAUUUAUGAAAUUAAUAUCUGCAGACAAAGUCGUUCUAUCAUAAGAUGACUUUUUAUGUUGACUC
rnacentral:lncRNA from 1 species